rnacentral:lncRNA from 1 species
GGUUGUCUUUAUUUCUUGAUGUCUACCUGGUGUAAUUGUCAUAAAUAUCACAGCAAUGAUUGAAUAUUAUUAAGUUAGACGGUGUUAUGUGCAGUAAAACAAAUAUUUUGUAAUUUUAAAAGUGAUACUUUAAAGAGUUUGUGAGACACCUUUGUACUGUGUUGCUGAAUAGUUUGCACAAUUUCCUGAAACAACAAACCCAACCACUGCAGCAUCUAUGAUGGUGUUCACUGACCGUAUUUGACCACUGAGUCAUGUUAUUUUCGAGUGUAUGUGCAGCUUCGCAUGUGGUAACAAAGCAGAUGUGUUGCAAAAGGUCACCUUGGUUUUAACCACCAGUUUGUGGCCAGUAGUUUAUCUGUUUUCCCAUCAUAUGUGCCUAAUCUAAGUUUAGGUUUAAAUUAAAUCUUUUUAGGCAUAUACAAUUUUGUUUUCUCUAUACCUUAUUUGCUCAGUUGGUUACUCUAUUGGUGGAGCGUUUUCCUUUUGUGACAUACACAGAUCUUCAGAUUGGCUGAAACAAAGUUUAAUCUCACUGCAGCUUUACUGCUACUUGGACAAACAAUGUUGGGUUCACAUACACUGGUCAUUAUUUACCUUUAGAAUCAGCCUUUAUGCAUGAAAGCAGUUUCAAAAGAUUUGUGUGGUAAAUGUAGCUCAAGGAGUUUGAAGCUACUACUACUAUUGCAACAAUUGUAAAAUGUGAUAAAGGCUGAAGGACCUAGGAUGCACGUAGAGCAACAGUGGAAUUAUCAGAAGCUCAGUUUGCAGGAAGCAGAUUGUGGUGAGUCAGCACAGACCACCAUCGUGUGUGCAUGCAGACUGGUUGUGGUCAGAUAGGGUUGGAUGUGUUAAAGAACCAUGUGAGGGAGGGGUUUUCACACGCCAAAGAACACAUCAAGCCCUAUAAGAAGAUGCAACAGAUUGCAGAGUCUUCAUCACAGCCAAGUGUCUCCAAUACAGCCAGAACUACUACUACAAAGAAAAAGACAUCUCUGUCCACUUUGAGAAGGUCUGCAGCUCGUUAUUCGACCUCAUCUACACAAAUGCAUAUCUUCAAUUUGCCUGUCAGAAUGUAUUACCAUACAUUAUGGCAAUUUAUCCCAAGCAUGGACUCU